AUCCCGUGGUGAGGCCAUUUGCGUAGAAACUCUUUAAAUCUUUCCCAUGCCUUGUAUAAGAAUUCAUCAUCCAAUUGCUGAAAUAUAGUGAUCUCAUUCCGCAACU
rfam:Gossypium raimondii Chr02_contig_720, whole genome shotgun sequence.